rnacentral:rRNA from 1 species
UACGGGGGGGGCAAGCGUUGUUCGGAAUUACUGGGCGUAAAGGGCUCGUAGGCGGCCAACUCAGUCAGACGUGAAAUCCCUCGGCUUAACCGGGGAACUGCGUCUGAUACUGGAUGGCUUGAGUUUGGGAGAGGGACGCGGAAUUCCAGGUGUAGCGGUGAAAUGCGUAGAUAUCUGGAGGAACACCGGUGGCGAAGGCGGCGUCCUGGACCAACACUGACACUGAUGAGCGAAAGCCAGGGGAGCAAACGGG